UAUACAAACUCACAUGUGCCUAAUGUGCUA
rnacentral:piRNA from 1 species